rnacentral:rRNA from 1 species
UCGAGAAUCUUCGGCAAUGGACGCAAGUCUGACCGAGCGACGCCGCGUGUGCGAAGAAGGCCUUCGGGUUGUAAAGCACUGUCAGGGGGGAGUAAAGUUCGCUUGAACUAUCCCCAAAGGAAGCACGGGCUAAGUUCGUGCCAGCAGCCGCGGUAAGACGAACCGUGCGAACGUUGUUCGGAAUCAUUGGGCUUAAAGGGCGCGUAGGCGGAGGUUCAGGUCCCGGGUGAAAUCCCACGGCUCAACCGUGGACGUGCCUUGGAAACCGGAUCUCUGGAGGGAGGUAGGGGCACGCGGAACUUCCGGUGGAGCGGUGAAAUGCAUAGAGAUCGGAAGGAACACCGAUGGCGAAAGCAGCGUGCUGGACCUCUUCUGACGCUGAGGCGCGAAAGCCAGGGUAGCGAACGGGAUUAGAUACCCCCGUAGUCC